AUGGUGAAGCCGGGUCAGACUCUGAGUCUCACCUGCAAAGUUGCUGGUUAUUCACUGACAAGUAUUAGCUGCCAAAUCCGUCUGGGUCAGUCACCUGCUGAAGUAAAAAGACCAGGAGAGAAGGUCAAGAUCUCCUGUAAAAUAAAUGGCUAUUCAAUGACGAGCUAUAACAUACACUGGAUACGACAGAAACCUAGAGAGGCUCUGCAGUGGAUUGGGAGAAUGAACACGGGAAACAAUGAUCCUACCUAUGCAGAGUCUCUGAAAGGCCAGUUCACCCUGACUGAGGACGUCUCCACCAGCACACAGUACUUAGAGGCCAAGAGUCUGAGAGCAGAGGACACUGCUGUUUACUACUGUGCUCGAGAGUCACAGUGA